ensembl:lncRNA
GGAGCUUUUUGUUGGAGAAGCUUUGAAACUCUGAGAUCUUCUGCAGUAUGACGUUGUAUUGGGAGUCUCUGUCUCCAGACAAUUCUGUGGCAUCACUCUGCAGUGUCGCAAACCUGUUCAUAUGAUCAACAUUUUAUUAUUUUACAUUUCUGAUUCUGUUCAACUUUCUAACACGAACUGAGGAUGAAGGAAAGCGUUUCAAGCCACUUGAACGUGUAUUGAGUUACACCACACAAUGUUUAUAUGAGAGAGGCGAGAAGGGGCCUUACCAGAGACCAGUGGUGGAUUUGGGCUCCUUCAGCCCACUCUUCACAGAGAUAAGGAGUGAGGACAGACCAGCGUCGGACUUUGAGGCCAUUAGAGCAUUGAAAAGAGUUCUCAUCCUCUCCUCUCGGUUCCUGAGGACAGAGAAUGGGACUACAAUGAGGACAUCUUGAUGACAAAAUUGAUGGUGUUUGUACUUCCUGUUAUUGGACCGAGAAUAUGGGACCGAGAACCUACAGAUUGCGCCUCUAAUGAUUUACUUCAACAGGCGUGUUCCUGUGUGGCUCAGUCGAUCGAGCUCGGGUUCGAUUCCCGCUGGGGACACCCAUACGUAAAAUGUAUGCAUGACUGUAAAUUGCUUAAAGAACCUUCUUCACAUCCCGGUAAUGCUCCUUGGCUCUCUCCAGCAUGCCUGACUGGUCUACACCAGGCCUAGGGACGCUGUCGGAAAAAGGCAAAACGAGGUGAGUAUAGAAGCAAAAAUGAGAUACUGUAUACACAACAUACUGUAUACACAACAUACUGUAUACACAACAUACUGUAUACACAACAAUUUAUUUAUCUAAUGUAGAAUUCAUUGCCAUUCCUAGAACAACAUAUCAUUUUGGUAUUUCAAAGGAUUUGUACUGAAGUGAUGUGUUUAAUGGCAACACAUGAACACAGCCUGGCCAAGGGUGGAAUGUAGUUGGUGAGGUAAAAAAAUCCCACAAUCCUUCAGGGAUUCAUGCUGUGGCAGAGCCCAAAAGCCCACAAUCCUUCAGGGAUUCAUGCUGUGGCAGAGCCCAAAAGCCCACAAUCCUUCAGGGAUUCAUGCUGUGGCAGAGCCCAAAAGCCCACAAUCCUUCAGGGAUUCAUGCUGUGGCAGAGCCCAAAAUCCCACAAUCCUUCAGGGAUUCAUGCUGUGGCAGAGCCCAAAAGCCCACAAUCCUUCAGGGAUUCAUGCUGUGGCAGAGCCCAAAUGCCCACAAUCCUUCAGGGGUUUAUGCUGUGGCAGAGUCCAAAUGCCCACAAUCCUUCAGGGUUUAUGCUGUGGCAGAGCCCAAAAGCCCACAACCAACAAUGACACCAGUGGCGCUGUGCUUUCAGUGUUGUUUCAGUGUUGUUUCAGUGUAUUUCCUUAGCCUUUAGUAUAGGCAAAUAAUCACACAAUGAAGUGUUAAAGUUACAAUGUGUCCAAGUGGGAACAACAUAGGACAUGAUGUGUGUGU